ACCGGGAUUGCCCUAGUAACGGCGAGUGAAGCGGCAAGAGCUCAAAUUUGAAAGCUGGCCCCCUCGGGGUCCGCAUUGUAAUUUGUAGAGGAUGCUUCGGGAGCGGUCCCCAUCUAAGUGCCCUGGAACGGGCCGUCAUAGAGGGUGAGAAUCCCGUAUGGGAUGGGGUGCCCGCGCCCGUGUGAAGCUCCUUCGACGAGUCGAGUUGUUUGGGAAUGCAGCUCUAAUUGGGUGGUAAAUUUCAUCUAAAGCUAAAUAUUGGCCGGAGACCGAUAGCGCACAAGUAGAGUGAUCGAAAGAUGAAAAGCACUUUGAAAAGAGAGUUAAACAGCACGUGAAAUUGUUGAAAGGGAAGCGCUUGCGAUCAGACUCGCUCGCGGGGUUCAGCCGGCCUUCGGGCCGGUGUACUUCCCCGCGGGCGGGCCAGCGUCGGUUUGGGCGGCCGGUCAAAGGCCCCUGGAAUGUAACGCCUCUCGGGGCGUCUUAUAGCCAGGGGUGCCAUGCGGCCUGCCCGGACCGAGGAACGCGCUUCGGCUCGGACGCUGGCAUAAUGGUCGUAAGCGACCCGUCUUGAAACACGGACCAAGGAGUCUAACAUCUACGCGAGUGUUCGGGUGUCAAACCCGUGCGCGCAGUGAAAGCGAACGGAGGUGGGAACCCCUCGGGGUGCACCAUCGACCGAUCCUGAAGUCUUCGGAUGGAUUUGAGUAAGAGCGUAGCUGUUGGGACCCGAAAGAUGGUGAACUAUGCCUGAAUAGGGCGAAGCCAGAGGAAACUCUGGUGGAGGCUCGCAGCGGUUCUGACGUGCAAAUCGAUCGUCAAAUUUGGGUAUAGGGGCGAAAGACUAAUCGAACCA
rnacentral:rRNA from 1 species